UGGCUCAGGACGAACGCUGGUGGCGUGCUUAACACAUGCAAGUCGAAACGGUGAAGCUCAGCUUGCUGGGCGGAUCAGUGGCGAACGGGUGAGUAACACGUGAGCAACCUGCCCCCUACUUCGGGAUAAGCCUUGGAAACGGGGUCUAAUACCGGAUAUGAACACUUAUCGCAUGGUGGGUGUUGGAAAGUUUUUCGGUGGGGGAUGGGCUCGCGGCCUAUCAGCUUGUUGGUGGGGUAAUGGCCUACCAAGGCGUCGACGGGUAGCCGGCCUGAGAGGGCGACCGGCCACACUGGGACUGAGACACGGCCCAGACUCCUACGGGAGGCAGCAGUGGGGAAUAUUGCACAAUGGGCGAAAGCCUGAUGCAGCGACGCCACGUGAGGGAUGACGGCCUUCGGGUUGUAAACCUCUUUCAGCAGGGAAGAAGCGCAAGUGACGGUACCUGCAGAAGAAGCGCCGGCUAACUACGUGCCAGCAGCCGCGGUAAUACGUAGGGCGCAAGCGUUGUCCGGAAUUAUUGGGCGUAAAGAGCUCGUAGGCGGUCUGUCGCGUCUGGUGUGAAAUCCCAUGGCUCAACUGUGGGCUUGCAUCGGGUACGGGCAGACUAGAGUGCUGUAGGGGAGACUGGAAUUCCUGGUGUAGCGGUGGAAUGCGCAGAUAUCAGGAGGAACACCGAUGGCGAAGGCAGGUCUCUGGGCAGUUACUGACGCUGAGGAGCGAAAGCAUGGGGAGCGAACAGGAUUAGAUACCCUGGUAGUCCAUGCCGUAAACGUUGGGCACUAGGUGUGGGGCGGGUUCCACUCGUUCUGUGCCGUAGCUAACGCAUUAAGUGCCCCGCCUGGGGAGUACGGCCGCAAGGCUAAAACUCAAAGGAAUUGACGGGGGCCCGCACAAGCGGCGGAGCAUGCGGAUUAAUUCGAUGCAACGCGAAGAACCUUACCAAGGCUUGACAUGUACGAGAAAGCCCCAGAGAUGGGGUUCUCUUUGGACACUCGUACACAGGUGGUGCAUGGUUGUCGUCAGCUCGUGUCGUGAGAUGUUGGGUUAAGUCCCGCAACGAGCGCAACCCUUAUCCUAUGUUGCCAGCGGGUUAUGCCGGGGACUCAUGGGAGACUGCCGGGGUCAACUCGGAGGAAGGUGGGGAUGACGUCAAAUCAUCAUGCCCCUUAUGUCUUGGGCUUCACGCAUGCUACAAUGGGCCGGUACAGAGGG
rnacentral:rRNA from 1 species